rnacentral:rRNA from 1 species
GACGAACGCUGGCGGCGUGCUUAACACAUGCAAGUCGAACGGUGAAGCGCCUUCCUUUUUGGUGGGUGUGGAUGAGUGGCGAACGGGUGAGUAACACGUGAGUAACCUGCCCCCUUCUUCUGGAUAACCGCAUGAAAGUGUGGCUAAUACGGGAUAUUCUGGGUCUGUCGCAUGAUGGGUCUGGGAAAGAUAUUGUUUCGGUGGGGGAUGGGCUCGCGGCCUAUCAGCUUGUUGGUGGGGUGAUGGUCUACCAAGGCGGUGACGGGUAGCCGGCCUGAGAGGGUGGACGGUCACACUGGGACUGAGACACGGCCCAGACUCCUACGGGAGGCAGCAGUGGGGAAUAUUGCACAAUGGGCGCAAGCCUGAUGCAGCGACGCCGCGUGAGGGAUGGAGGCCUGCGGGUUGUGAACCUCUUUCGCCAGUGAAGCAGGCCUGCCUCGUUUGUGGGUGGGUUGACGGUAGCUGGAUAAGAAGCGCCGGCUAACUACGUG